UGAGCGGCAAAAGCUCAAAUUUGAAAUCUGGUUGUGCCUGGCGCAGCCCGAGUUGUAAUUUGAAGAAGGCGACUCUGGAGGCGGCCCUUGCCUAUGUUCCUUGGAACAGGACGUCACAGAGGGUGAGAAUCCCGUGCGGCGAGGUGGCCCCGGCUCCGUGUAGAGCGCUUUCGAAGAGUCGAGUUGUUUGGGAAUGCAGCUCUAAGUGGGUGGUAAAUUCCAUCUAAAGCUAAAUAUUGGCGAGAGACCGAUAGCGAACAAGUACAGUGAUGGAAAGAUGAAAAGAACUUUGAAAAGAGAGUGAAAAAGUACGUGAAAUUGUUGAAAGGGAAGGGUAUUAGAUCAGACUUGGCGGUUGCUGGGGAUCCCCCCCUGCCCUUGUGGCGGGAGGGCUACUCCCUGCGCGCUGGGCCAGCAUCGAUUCGGACGGCGGGAGAAUGGCGUGGAGAAUGUGGCAGCGGCCCUUUGCGGGGCUGGUGUGCUUAUAGCUCUGGGCAGAUGCCGCCUGUGUGGAUCGAGGAGUGCGUCCUUAGGGACUAGGAUGCUGGCGUAAUGAUCUAACACCGCCCGUCUUGA
rnacentral:rRNA from 1 species